GACGAACGCUGGCGGCGUGCUUAACACGUGCAAGUCGAACGAUGAAGCCGGAGCUUGCUCUGGUGAAUUAGUGGCGAACGGGUGAGUAACACGUGAGUAACCUGCCCUUGACUCUGGGAUAACUGCGGGAAACUGUAGCUAAUACCGGAUACGACCCUCGGAGGCAUCUCCUGGGGGUGGAAAGAAUUUCGGUCAAGGAUGGACUCGCGGCCUAUCAGCUAGUUGGUGAGGUAAAGGCUCACCAAGGCGACGACGGGUAGCCGGCCUGAGAGGGUGACCGGCCACACUGGGACUGAGACACGGUCCAGACUCCUACGGGAGGCAGCAGUGGGGAAUAUUGCACAAUGGGCGCAAGCCUGAUGCAGCAACGCCGCGUGAGUGAUGAAGGCCUUCGGGUUGUAAAACUCUGUCCUAUGGGAAGAAACAAAUGACGGUACCAUGGGAGGAAGCCCCGGCUAACUACGUGCCAGCCGCCGCCGUAA
rnacentral:rRNA from 1 species